rnacentral:rRNA from 1 species
GAGCGGUAAGGCCCUUCGGGGUACACGAGCGGCGAACGGGUGAGUAACACGUGAGCAAUCUGCCCUUCACUCUGGGAUAGCCACCGGAAACGGUGAUUAAUACCGGAUAUGACCACUGCCCGCAUGGGUUGGUGGUGGAAAGUUCUGGCGGUGGAGGAUGAGCUCGCGGCCUAUCAGCUUGUUGGUGAGGUAAUGGCUCACCAAGGCUUCGACGGGUAGCCGGCCUGAGAGGGUGACCGGCCACACUGGGACUGAGACACGGCCCAGACUCCUACGGGAGGCAGCAGUGGGGAAUAUUGGACAAUGGGCGAAAGCCUGAUCCAGCAACGCCGCGUGAGGGAUGACUGCCUUCGGGUUGUAAACCUCUUUCAGCGGGGACGAAGCGCAAGUGACGGUACCCGCAGAAGAAGCACCGGCCAACUACGUGCCAGCAGCCGCGGUAAUACGUAGGGUGCGAGCGUUGUCCGGAAUUAUUGGGCGUAAAGGGCUCGUAGGCGGUUUGUCGCGUCGGGAGUGAAAACCCAGGGCUUAACCCUGGGCCUGCUUCCGAUACGGGCAGACUAGAGGUAUGCAGGGGAGAACGGAAUUCCUGGUGUAGCGGUGAAAUGCGCAGAUAUCAGGAGGAACACCGGUGGCGAAGGCGGUUCUCUGGGCAUUACCUGACGCUGAGGAGCGAAAGUGUGGGGAGCGAACAGGAUUAGAUACCCUGUAGUCCACACCGUAAACGUUGGGCGCUAGUGUGGGACACAUUCCACGUGUUCCGUGCCGCAGCUAACGCAUUAAGCGCCCCGCCUGGGGAGUACGGCCGCAAGGUAAAACUCAAAGAUGAGGGGGCCCGCACAAGCGGCGGAGCAUGCGGAUUAAUUCGAUGCAACGCGAAAACCUUACCUUUGACUGCCGAAAGCUCUAAGAUAAGCCCUUUAUUGGCAGGUCCACGUCGAGGUAUCCACACUCCUGGGGGGAC